rnacentral:rRNA from 1 species
AGAGUUUGAUCCUGGCUCAGAACGAACGCUGGCGGCAUGCCUAACACAUGCAAGUCGAACGAAGGCUUCGGCCUUAGUGGCGCACGGGUGAGUAACACGUGGGAACCUGCCUCUUUGUUCGGAAUAACUGCGGGAAACUGCAGCUAAUACCGGAUACGCCCUACGGGGGAAAGAUUUAUCGCAGAGAGAGGGGCCCGCGUCCGAUUAGGUAGUUGGUGGGGUAAUGGCCUACCAAGCCGACGAUCGGUAGCUGGUCUGAGAGGAUGAUCAGCCACACUGGGACUGAGACACGGCCCAGACUCCUACGGGAGGCAGCAGUGGGGAAUAUUGGACAAUGGGCGCAAGCCUGAUCCAGCAAUGCCGCGUGAAUGAUGAAGGCCUUAGGGUUGUAAAGUUCUUUCGUCGGGGACGAUGAUGACGGUACCCGAAGAAGAAGCCCCGGCUAACUUCGUGCCAGCAGCCGCGGUAAUACGAAGGGGGCUAGCGUUGUUCGGAAUUACUGGGCGUAAAGGGCGCGUAGGCGGCCAUUCAAGUUAGGCGUGAAAGCCCUGGGCUCAACCUAGGAAUUGCGCUUGAUACUGUAUGGCUUGAGUUCGGGAGAGGUGAGUGGAAUUCCCAGUGUAGAGGUGAAAUUCGUAGAUAUUGGGAAGAACACCAGUGGCGAAGGCGGCUCACUGGACCGACACUGACGCUGAGGCGCGAAAGCGUGGGGAGCAAACAGGAUUAGAUACCCUAGUAGUCC